GAUGUGUAGGAGGAGACUCAACAUAGUUACAUAUCAGUGCUUGUGUGAAUAUGUCAUCGUCUAAUGCAGCUGUAUUGAUCCUCUGGGAAGAAUUAACUUGGUUUUAGCUUUCAUAGUGUCCGUUGAGUUUUUACUCUGAGAAUUAGAACCUAACAGUGCCAAGUGGUGUCUGGGUCUGAGUGGGGGAACAUGCUAGUGUGGGACAGGGGUCUGAUCAAGGUGGAGAUCUGCCAUAAGGGUGGAAGGACGUGCCACGCUGGCACCACCCAGCAGUUUGUCUUGGACGAGGAGGAACUCAUGACCAUUGGCACUGACGGAGCCAUUAGGGUAACCUUUCAGAUAUAGUACAGUCCUCUCAGCCCCAGUCUAAGAGGUCUCUGCUAACCCUAAAAAGCCAGCCUGAACAACUGGUCUGUGGUCAGUUUUGCCUGCUGUGUAAUAUUUCUCCCUGAUGAUGUCAUUUCUCCACCCUGUGCAGGGCUGAGACUUUGAGAGUAUUGACACGGCGGACUGUAACGAUGACAUCGGUCUGUUUGAGAUCGAGCCCAUGAACAAGAUUGUGAUCAGACGCAACGUUAGCAUGUCCUCCAUGGUCAUGGGUAAUCCUGAAUGAAUCUUGAAUAAUGACGAGUGAGAAAGUUAGACACACAUAUCAUACCCCCCCAAAAAAUGCUAGCCCCCCUACAGUAUUUGUGUCUCCAUCUUUCUCUCUGAUAAUUAUUCUCAAUCCAUUCAGGAUUACCAUAUUCAAUUCUUAUUAUUUUUUACAAUUUAAUUAAGUGACUCCAAAAUGACACAAAACAUUACUCACCAUUCAUUUCUAUUGGGCACAAAAGGACCAGAGGAUCUCCACCUAUCGUCUGCUGGCACUGUUCCAGAGGUUCCACGAGCUGAAACAGAGGGAUGGCAGGGGGCUCUGGUACAGGAACGUUGGAGGAACAAAGCCGAGGCUGACAAAUACCGCUCCAACAUCACAGGGCCUGUAGCCGUGGCCAAUAACUAGAGGAGGUGUGGGCCAGACUGCUGGAACAGCUAGAGGCAGAGAGGAGGGAGGAGAGAAGGAGACCCCCUGCCCUACACCUGCAGCUAAAAAGAGAAAGAGGGAGGUGGAGGAAGGAGCUGGUGUGACAGAGCUGGAGAAGGAGAUAAUGGAGUUGGAGGAGGUCAGGCUGAACAGGACUCCCUGCUGGAACAGAUGUCGUAGUCAGUGUGCUUGUUGCGUCAGGUAGUGAUGGUAGGCUACAUUACCUCCUCCACACUGAUCCUCAACAUGGGGGCCCCCACAAGGGUGUUUCCUCAGUCCCCUCCUGUACUCCCUGUAUACCCACGACUGAGCGGCCUCACACAGUUCCAACUCCAUCAUCAAGUUUGCUGACGAGAUAGGAGGUAGGCACUCGGAUGGUGUGGUGCUGAUUGUGGACUUCAGGAGGAACCAGGUUGGGCACGCCCCCAUCCUCAUCAACGGGGUCGCCAUGUAGACUGUCAAAAAUGUCAAAUUCCUCUGCGUACACAUCUCAGAUGAGCUGAAAUGGUCAAACCACACCUACACCGUGGUGAAGGCACGGCAGCGACUCUUCAACCUCAGGAGGCUAAAGAGAUUUGGCCUCAGUGUUCUACAGGAUACACACCCCCACACACAUACAUACAUACAGUGCAUUUGGAAAGUAUUCACAACCCGUCACUUUUUCCACAUUGUGUUACUUUAUAGCCUCAUUCUAAAAUGGUAUACGUAUAAUGUCCUCAUUAAUCUACACACAACACCCCAUAGUGACAAAGCAAAAACUGUUUAAUAACAACCAGAUAUCUUAUUCACAAAAGUAUUCAGACCCUUUGCUAUGAGACUCAAAAUUUUGCUGAGGUGCAUCCUGUUUCCAUUGAUCAUCCUUGAUGUUUCUACAACUUGAUUGGAGUCCACCUGUGGUAAAUUAAAUUGAUUGGCCAUGAUUUGGAAAGGCACCCACCUGUCUAUAUAAGGUCCCACAGUUGAGUGCAUGGCAGAGCAACAACGAAGCCAUGAGGUCAAAGGAAUUGUCCGUCGUGCUCCGAGACAGGAUUGUGUCAAGGCGCAGCUC